AUUGAACGCUGGCGGCAGGCCUAACACAUGCAAGUCGAGCGGAUGAAGGGAGCUUGCUCCUGGAUUCAGCGGCGGACGGGUGAGUAAUGCCUAGGAAUCUGCCUGGUAGUGGGGGAUAACGUCCGGAAACGGGCGCUAAUACCGCAUACGUCCUGAGGGAGAAAGUGGGGGAUCUUCGGACCUCACGCUAUCAGAUGAGCCUAGGUCGGAUUAGCUAGUUGGUGGGGUAAAGGCCUACCAAGGCGACGAUCCGUAACUGGUCUGAGAGGAUGAUCAGUCACACUGGAACCUAGACACGGUCCCGACUCCUACGGGAGGCAGCAGUGGGGAAUAUUUGACAAUUGGCCAAAGCCCUAUCCAGCCAUGCCGCGGGGGGGAAGAAGGUCCUCCGAUUGGUAAGCACUUUAAGUUGGGAAGAAGGGCAGUAAGUUAAUACCUUGCCUUUUUGACGUUAACAACAGAAUAAGCACCGGCUAACUUCGUG
rnacentral:rRNA from 1 species